GUGCGUAGGUGGCACCGUAAGUCGGGUGUGAAAUCCCGGGGCUUAACCCCGGGACUGCAUUCGAUACUGCGGUGCUUGAGGACUGGAGAGGAGACUGGAAUUCAUGGUGUAGCAGUGAAAUGCGUAGAGAUCAUGAGGAAGACCAGUGGCGAAGGCGGGUCUCUGGACAGUUCCUGACACUGAGGCACGAAGGCCAGGGGAGCAAACG
rnacentral:rRNA from 1 species